UACGUAGGGUGCGAGCGUUAAUCGGAAUUACUGGGCGUAAAGCGUGCGCAGGCGGUUUUGUAAGCCAGAUGUGAAAUCCCCGGGCUUAACCUGGGAAUGGCAUUUGGGACUGCAAGGCUGGAGUGCGGCAGGAGGAGACUGGAAUUCCUGGUGUAGCAGUGAAAUGCGUAGAUAUCAGGAGGAACACCGAUGGCGAAGGCAGGUCUCUGGGCUGACACUGACGU
rnacentral:rRNA from 1 species